GAUGAACGCUGGCGGCGUGCCUAAUACAUGCAAGUCGAGCGAACGGACGAGAAGCUUGCUUCUCUGAUGUUAGCGGCGGACGGGUGAGUAACACGUGGAUAACCUACCUAUAAGACUGGGAUAACUUCGGGAAACCGGAGCUAAUACCGGAUAAUAUUUUGAACCGCAUGGUUCAAAAGUGAAAGACGGUCUUGCUGUCACUUAUAGAUGGAUCCGCGCUGCAUUAGCCAGUUGGUAAGGUAACGGCUUACCAAGGCAACGAUGCAUAGCCGACCUGAGAGGGUGGUCGGCCACACUGGAACUGAGACACGGUCCAGACUCCUACGGGAGGCAGCAGUAGGGAAUCUUCCGCAAUGGGCGAAAGCCUGACGGAACAACGCCGCGUGAGUGAUGAAGGUCUUCGGAUCGUAAAACUCUGUUAUUAGGGAAGAACAUAUGUGUAAGUAACUGUGCACAUCUUGACGGUACCUAAUCAGAAAGCCACGGCUAACUACGUG
rnacentral:rRNA from 1 species